UGGCUUUACACAUCGCCUAUCGGGGCUAUCGAUCGACGUGGCCAAUCGUGGCUUUACACAUCGCCUAUCGAGGCUAUCGAUCGACGUGGCCAAUCGUGGCUUUACACAUCGCCUAUCGGGGCUAUCGAUCGACGUGGCCUAUCGUGGCUUUACACAUCGCCUAUCGGGGCUAUCGAUUGACGUGGCCUAUCGUGGCGUUACAUAUAUUGCCUAUCGGGGCUACCUAUCCACGUAUAGCCUACCGUGGCACUUUACGACGAAGCAUUUUGUAAUUCUUAUCCUAUUCCUUUUGUGUGAAUCAGACAUUAAAGUGAAUGCCUAUGCCUAUCGUGGCUUAAUUUUUGGGGGGGGGUUCCAAUAAAUAGCUUUUAUAGCUUAAGAAGUCUGAUUCCUUCUUAACAUUUUCUCUUGUUUCAGGAUUGACAUCUCUUCGAUUUCCUAGCAAUCAAGCCAGUUGAUCUAUUUCACUUUUGGGGGUAGGCUCCGCCCCUGCCUUCAACAUCAGGUGUCGUAGCUGAAGUUCGCCUCCAUCCUCCCCACCACCACCAGGUUGUUCCCUGUUCUUUUGUCCGGGGGUAGGCUCCGCCCCUGCCUUCAACAUCAGGCAGGAUCUGCCGGACUACAGCUAGACCCGGACGAAAGGCGGGGCAUACGCCAAAAUAAUCUAUACGAGACUCAAGCAUCCAUUUAAUUGAGUCUGAUUUGAAUUUCUGUCUUUUAAUUCAACAUGGAAUAAAUGUCAUUCAAACGUU